rnacentral:tRNA from 1 species
UAAGGAGAAGCUUUAUAAAUGAAGCAUUGAAUUUUUAAUUCAAAGAUGGAAUAUUUCCCUUCUUAC